UAUACACAGCUCCAUUGCAAGUUAACGUCUGUGCAUUAACACUUACUGCUUCUGAUAUUUGUUUGGUCUGCAGUUUUUUUUUAAAUACUACAGUAUAGACCAAUACUGUUGCUUUUUGGAUGGCUUGAUGGUGGCCAUAUUAGGUGUAGGCCUCAAACCCACCCUCCAAGCCUGAGGAAUAAGGAGUUUCCAUGUGUUUGGGGCCACAGAGACUCUUCAGAGAAGUUUCACAGAAAGGUCAGACAUCACUUUGUCAGUGUCUUUUUUCCACUUUGCAGUGGGAUGAGGAUGAAUAAGGUGAUGUGGCUGCUGUCUGGUGCUGGGCAGUGGUCCCCCUUCAUGGUAACAACCAACAGAAGCCACAUUUUUCCUGCUGGCUGAGGCUCUCUAAUCCAUCUAACACCAGCAGAAGGCCAGAGGAAGAUACAAAGAAAAUAGUAGAAUGAGAUAGCUGGUUCAAUAAUUCAUCACCUUUGUAUAAGAGAUACCCCGAAGGAGUAGCACCAAGAGAUGUAAAAGCCUGAAAGCAUGUUAACGAGU